rnacentral:rRNA from 1 species
UACGUAGGGUGCAAGCGUUGUUCGGAAUUACUGGGCGUAAAGGGCUCGUAGGCGGCCAACUAAGUCCGAUGUGAAAUCCCCAGGCUCAACCUGGGAACUGCAUCCGAUACUGGAUGGCUUGAAUUCGGGAGAGGGAUGCAGAAUUCCAGGUGUAGCGGUGAAAUGCGUAGAUAUCUGGAGGAAUACCGGUGGCGAAGGCGGCCUCCUGGACCGACAUUGACGCUGAGGAGCGAAAGCGAGGGGAGCAAACGGG